rfam:Novosphingobium sp. AP12 PMI02_contig_447.447, whole genome shotgun sequence.
GAACAGCGGCAGUGAUGUUGCUGGAUGGGCCCGGAGAAGUCAGCAGCGGUCAUAGUAGCGGGCGCAAGCCGGCGAAGGAC